CCUACGGGUGGCUGCAGUGAGGAAUAUUGGUCAAUGGGCGAGAGCCUGAACCAGCCACGUCGCGUGAGGGAGUACUGCCCUCUGGGUUGUAAACCUCUUUUGUCGGGGAGCAAAAGCCGGAUGUGUCCGGCUGUGAGAGUACCCGAAGAAAACGCCUCGGCUAACUCCGUGCCAGCAGCCGCGGUAAUACGGAGGAUGCGAGUGGUAUCCGGUUUUAUUGGGUUAAAAGGGUGCGCAGGCGGAUUUUUAAGUCAGCGGUCAAAUCGUGGGGCUCAACCCCAUCCAGCCGUUGAAACUGGGGAUCUAGGGUGAGCGAGAGGUAUGGGGAAUGCGUGGUGUAGCGGUGAAAUGCAUAGAUAUCACGCAGAACCACGAUUGCGAAGGCAGCAUACCGGUGCACAACUGACGCUCAGGCACGAAAGCGUGGGUAUCGAACAGGAUUAGAUACCCUGGUAGUC
rnacentral:rRNA from 1 species